GAUGAACGCUGGCGGCGUGCCUAAUACAUGCAAGUCGAGCGAACGGACGAGAAGCUUGCUUCUCUGAUGUUAGCGGCGGACGGGUGAGUAACACGUGGAUAACCUACCUAUAAGACUGGGAUAACUUCGGGAAACCGGAGCUAAUACCGGAUGAUAUUUUGAACCGCAUGGUUCAAAAGUGAAAGACGGUCUUGCUGUCACUUAUAGAUGGAUCCGCGCUGCAUUAGCUAGUUGGUAAGGUAACGGCUUACCAAGGCAACGAUGCAUAGCCGACCUGAGAGGGUGAUCGGCCACACUGGAACUGAGACACGGUCCAGACUCCUACGGGAGGCAGCAGUAGGGAAUCUUCCGCAAUGGGCGAAAGCCUGACGGAGCAACGCCGCGUGAGUGAUGAAGGUCUUCGGAUCGUAAAACUCUGUUAUUAGGGAAGAACAUAUGUGUAAGUAACUGUGCACAUCUUGACGGUACCUAAUCAGAAAGCCACGGCUAACUACGUGCCAGCAGCCGCGGUAAUACGUAGGUGGCAAGCGUUAUCCGGAAUUAUUGGGCGUAAAGCGCGCGUAGGCGGUUUUUUAAGUCUGAUGUGAAAGCCCACGGCUCAACCGUGGAGGGUCAUUGGAAACUGGAAAACUUGAGUGCAGAAGAGGAAAGUGGAAUUCCAUGUGUAGCGGUGAAAUGCGCAGAGAUAUGGAGGAACACCAGUGGCGAAGGCGACUUUCUGGUCUGUAACUGACGCUGAUGUGCGAAAGCGUGGGGAUCAAACAGGAUUAGAUACCCUGGUAGUCCACGCCGUAAACGAUGAGUGCUAAGUGUUAGGGGGUUUCCGCCCCUUAGUGCUGCAGCUAACGCAUUAAGCACUCCGCCUGGGGAGUACGACCGCAAGGUUGAAACUCAAAGGAAUUGACGGGGACCCGCACAAGCGGUGGAGCAUGUGGUUUAAUUCGAAGCAACGCGAAGAACCUUACCAAAUCUUGACAUCCUUUGACAACUCUAGAGAUAGAGCCUUCCCCUUCGGGGGGGACAAAGUGACAGGUGGUGCAUGGUUGUCGUCAGCUCGUGUCGUGAGAUGUUGGGUUAAGUCCCGCAACGAGCGCAACCCUUAAGCUUAGUUGCCAUCAUUAAGUUGGGCACUCUAAGUUGACUGCCGGUGACAAACCGGAGGAAGGUGGGGAUGACGUCAAAUCAUCAUGCCCCUUAUGAUUUGGGCUACACACGUGCUACAAUGGACAAUACAAAGGGCAGCGAAACCGCGAGGCCAAGCAAAUCCCAUAAAGUUGUUCUCAGUUCGGAUUGUAGUCUGCAACUCGACUACAUAAAGCUGGAAUCGCUAGUAAUCGUAGAUCAGCAUGCUACGGUGAAUACGUUCCCGGGCCU
rnacentral:rRNA from 1 species